AACGAACGUUGGCGGCGUGCUUAACACAUGCAAGUCGAGCGCGAAUCCUUGCUUCGGCGAGGUAGUAGAGCGGCGAACGGGUGAGUAACACGUGAGUAACUUGCCUCUAAGUCUGGGAUAACCACCCGAAAGGGUAGCUAAUACUGGAUAAGACCACAAUGUCCUUGGGCAAUGUGAGAAAAGGCUUCGGUCGCUUGGAGAUAGGCUCGCGUCCCAUUAGCUAGUUGGUGAGGUAAUGGCUCACCAAGGCUUCGAUGGGUAGCUGGUUUUAGAGGAUGAUCAGCCACACUGGAACUGAGACACGGUCCAGACUCCUACGGGAGGCAGCAGUGGGGAAGUCUUGCGCAAUGGGCGGAAAGACCUGACGCAGCAACGCCGCGUGAGUGAUGAAGGCCUCGGGUCGUAAAGACUCUGUCCUGGGAGGAAGAAUUUUGUACGGUAGUCCCACGAAGAAAGACACCGGCGUAACUACCGUCGCCACGCAGCCGCCGGUAAAGGUACACA
rnacentral:rRNA from 1 species